CUCACUGUAUCUCUCUCUUUCUGUCUCUCUCUCUGUCUCUGUCUCACUCUGUCUGCCUCUCUCUCUCUCCCUGUCUCUCUCUCCCUCUGUCUUUCUCUUCUGAUCUGAGGAGGAGGAGGACUGUGCCCAGGAAAACAUUCACUUCUCAUUGGAGACACAGCAGAUGCUCCAUGCAGAUGCUGCUGUUGUCUCUGAUGCUGCAGCUGGUGUGGUGAUGGCGUCUCUGUGGGCAGAGCAGGUCUCAGGACCCAGUCCCUGUAACUACAGACUCAGGAGCCCCUGGUCCAUCCUGAGUAACUCUUACCUGCACAAAACUCUGGAGCAAAGAGCACGAGUCAGGGCAAUUAAUUCAGCCGGAUCUAGAGAGGAACAGAAGACACGAUGGAAGUGAGCUGCUGAAAGUCUUAGGUGCCUGACAGAAGGUUGCCCUCCCACAUGUCUCUACCAGUGCCCAUACCAGUUUGAAUUUUGCUGCUCCAAGGAAUUAUUUUGAGGAAGGAGAAAGACACCUUCUUGGACAUUGAGACAUCUUGGCCAGCAUCUGGAACACACUUUUCCUGGAAUAUGACCUGCCUUGGAGAACAGAUGAUAAAGCACAGCCCUUCCCCUCAAGCUACUAAUGAUUGACAGCAAUUGAAUAAAUGCCCUCUAAUCUGAAACCUCUGCCAGAUGGAAGAAGUGAACUAUGCCGCCCACAAGCAGGAAGACCUGAGACCGGCUGGAAGCACAAGGGUGAUGCUGCUGCUCCCCGAGACCUCAUCACAGACCCAACAGAAGAGUGUCCUCAAGUUGAUCAGGCUCUGCUCCUUGAACAAUAUAAGACUCCUCAAACCCCUCCACCACCAGACACACGGCCUUUUAUUUAUUUUAAUAUUUUAUUUAUUUAUCUAUUUA